AGCAGCCGCGGUAAUUCCAGCUCCAAUAGCGUAUAUUAAAGUUGUUGCAGUUAAAAAGCUCGUAGUUGAAUUUCGGGAUCACCAGGUUGGUCGUGCCUCUGGUACGUACUUGCUUCGGUGGUCCCUCCUUCUUGAAGAACCGUAAUGCCAUUAAUUUGGUGUUGCGGGGAAACAGGACUGUUACUUUGAAAAAUUAGAGUGUUUAAAGCAGGCAAUCGCUUGAAUACAUUAGCAUGGAAUAAUGAAAUAGGACGUUCGAUCCUAUUUUGUUGGUUUCUAGGAUUGACGUAAUGAUUAAUAGGGAUAGUUGGGGGCAUUAGUAUUCAAUUGUCAGAGGUGAAAUUCUUGGAUUUAUUGAAGACUAACUACUGCGAAAGCAUUUGCCAAGGAUGUUUUCAUUAAUCAAGAACGAAAGUUAGGGGAUCGAAGACGAUCAGAUACCGUCGUAGUCUUAACCAUAAACUGUGCCGACUAGGGAUCGGAUGAUGUUAAUUUUUAAUGACUCAUUCGGCGCCUUACG
rnacentral:rRNA from 1 species